AGGACGAACGCUGGCGGCGUGCUUAACACAUGCAAGUCGAGCGAGGUCCAAGGAGUGGCAACACUCCGGAAGACCUAGCGGCGAACGGGUGAGUAACACGUGAGGAACCUGCCCCAGAGACCGGGAUAACCCUCCGAAAGGAGAGCUAAUACCGGAUGCCGUCAUCGGAUCGCAUGGUCUGAUGACGAAAUGGAUUCCGCUCUGGGAGGCCUCGCGGCCUAUCAGCUUGUUGGUGAGGUAACGGCUCACCAAGGCGUCGACGGUAGCUGGUCGUGAGAGGACGAUCAGCCACACGUGGGACUGAGACACGGCCAGACUCCGUACGGGAGCAGCAGGUGGGGAAUCGUUGACGCAAGUCGGGACGAAAGCCUAGACGCAGCGAACGCCGACGGUGGGGAUGGAAGGUCCGUUUCGGGUACGUUAAACCCCC
rnacentral:rRNA from 1 species